UGUCUCCUCCACCCUCCUCCUUUGGUGUGGAUNUUGGUGUGGAUUUAGCGCGGCUCCCAAGAGCCGCGCUUUUUUUG
rnacentral:ncRNA from 1 species